ACGGGUGAGUAACACGUGGGCAACCUGCCCUUGAGACUGGGAUAACUUCGGGAAACCGGAGCUAAUACCGGAUAAUAUAAGGAACCUCCUGGUUCCUUAUUGAAAGAUGGUUUCGGCUAUCACUUAAGGAUGGGCCCGCGGCGCAUUAGCUAGUUGGUGAGGUAACGGCUCACCAAGGCGACGAUGCGUAGCCGACCUGAGAGGGUGAUCGGCCACACUGGGACUGAGACACGGCCCAGACUCCUACGGGAGGCAGCAGUAGGGAAUCUUCCACAAUGGACGAAAGUCUGAUGGAGCAACGCCGCGUGAGUGAUGAAGGCCUUCGGGUCGUAAAGCUCUGUUGUUAGGGAAGAACAAGUGCGAGAGUAACUGCUCGCACCUUGACGGUACCUAACCAGAAAGCCACGGCUAACUACGUGCCAGCAGCCGCGGUAAUACGUAGGUGGCAAGCGUUAUCCGGAAUUAUUGGGCGUAAAGCGCGCGCAGGUGGUUUCUUAAGUCUGAUGUGAAAGCCCACGGCUCAACCGUGGAGGGUCAUUGGAAACUGGGGAACUUGAGUGCAGAAGAGGAAAGUGGAAUUCCAA
rnacentral:rRNA from 1 species